GAGUUUGAUCAUGGCUCAGAACGAACGCUGGCGGCAGGCUUAACACAUGCAAGUCGAACGAUAUAGUGGCAGACGGGUGAGUAACGCGUGGGAACGUACCUUUCACUACGGAAUAGCUCUUGGAAACGAGUGGUAAUACCGUAUACGCCCUUCGGGGGAAAGAUUUAUCGGUGAAAGAUCGGCCCGCGUUAUAUUAACUAGUUGGUAGGGUAAUGGCCUACCAAGGCGACGAUCUAUAGCUGGUCUGAGAGGAUGAUCACCCACACUGGGACUGAAACACGGCCCAUACUCCUACGGGAGGCAGCAGUGGGGAAUCUUGCACAAUGGGCGAAAGCCUGAUGCAACCAUGCCGCGUGAAUGAUGAAGGCCUUAAGGUUGUAAAAUUCUUUCCCUAGGGAUGAUAAUGACAGUACCUAGUAAAGAACCCCCGGCUAACUUCAUGCCAGCAGCCGCGGUAAUACUAACGGGGCUAGCGUUGUUCGGAAUUACUGGGCGUAAAGCGCACGUAAGCGGACUUUUAACUCAGAUGUGAAAUCCCGGGGCUCAACCUCGGAACUGCAUUUGAGACUGGAAGUCUAGAGACCACGAGAGGUUAGCGGAAUACCGAGUGUAGAGGUGAAAUUCGUAUAUAUUCGGUGGAACAUCAGUGGCGAAGGCGGCUAACUGGACUGGUACUGACGCUGAGGUGCGAAGUGUGAGGAGCAAACGGAUUACAUACCCUGCUAGUCACACGUAACGAUGAUAGCUAGUUGUUGGCAGCAUGCCUGUUGUGACGCAGCUAACGCAUUAAGCUCUCCGCCUGGGGAGUACGGUAGCAAGAGUGAAAUGCAAGUAUAUUGACUGGGGCCGCACAGCUGCUGCGAGCCAUGUGACUUACUGCGAUCGAUCGCUCAGAUGCUUACAUACGCUUGACUACCGAUCACGCUGUCAUACGAUGAUUCCAUCAGUAGCUGAUCGGAUACAGAGCUGCUUGCAGUCGUCAGCUCAUGUCUGAAAUCGUAGAAUAGUCGUCACUGACGCUUAUCUAUGCUCAGCUGCAUGACGAUUGGCUGAGAACUCUAAGGUAACUGCCAGUGUAACCGAGACAGGAGUUGAAUGAUCAGUCUUCGCCCGUACGUCUAGCGUUACACUCUGGUUACAAAGGCUCGUGACAUAUCG
rnacentral:rRNA from 1 species